rnacentral:rRNA from 1 species
GAUGAACGCUGGCGGCGUGCCUAAUACAUGCAAGUCGAGCGAACGGACGAGAAGCUUGCUUCUCUGAUGUUAGCGGCGGACGGGUGAGUAACACGUGGAUAACCUACCUAUAAGACUGGGAUAACUUCGGGAAACCGGAGCUAAUACCGGAUAAUAUUUUGAACCGCAUGGUUCAAAAGUGAAAGACGGUCUUGCUGUCACUUAUAGAUGGAUCCGCGCUGCAUUAGCUAGUUGGUAAGGUAACGGCUUACCAAGGCAACGAUGCAUAGCCGACCUGAGAGGGUGAUCGGCCACACUGGAACUGAGACACGGUCCAGACUCCUACGGGAGGCAGCAGUAGGAAAUCUUCCGCAAUGGGCGAAAGCCUGACGGAGCAACGCCGCGUGAGUGAUGAAGGUCUUCGGAUCGUAAAACUCUGUUAUUAGGGAAGAACAUAUGUGUAAGUAACUGUGCACAUCUUGACGGUACCUAAGCAGAAAGCCACGGCUAACUACGU